UAGAGACCACGGACUUUCAGUUAGAUUACCAUUACAAUCUGACUCCAACUGCAACAUAAAGAGAACUAAGAAAGACAAGUUGCUAUAAGGCCUGAACUCCAGGAAGCUUGUAUAUCUACAAUGACCUUGGUGCUAAUGCAGCAACAGUGAACUAGUUGAACAGCAACUAUCUAAUUAUAAUCACUGUUUUGUCUGACAAGAAGUACAGUGACGGCAAUUUGAAUUUGCCACCUAAUCACUGCAGUCACAGCUCAGUUCUCCUGCAGGUUAGACAUCUCCAAUGCUACAGCUUCCGGUAUUAGUUAGUCGUGAUGUGCUGUUCUGAGUGUCAGUGGCAACAGUCUCUCACUGCAUCCACAACCUUUGGUCUAUUAUGUACCAGAGCUCACUGUGGGGGUCUAUUAUGUACCAGAGCUCACUGUGGGGGUCAUUUAUCAACUCUGUGAAAAAUUUGCCCGAGGGCAGUAACCCAUGGCAGCCAAUCAAAUCAUUGCUUGCAUUGUUCUACCUGCAGCUGGCUGGAAAAAGCUCAUCACUGAUUGGUUGCUAUGGGUUGCUGAGUCCCUGUGUCUCACGAUAUAAUAGGUUUGGAAUGACUGUUCUCAAUGCUCUUGGGACACCAGUGUCCAAUGUUUAUCACUAUAUAAUGUUCUUCUGAUUCCUAUAUAUUCAUAGGUAAUAGUGCAUGGACUGAAAGCUGCAGAGAUAUGUUUAUAGACAUUCUCUUGUUCAUAGCUAGCUGCUUACAGUCUAUGCACGUCUAUAAAUUGUAGAAAUUUGGAGCAAAAAUGCACACAUAGCACAAGGGAAUAGGGCAGGUUCAGUGAUGCCCAGAAACAAGUGCAGGGUCACAGAUAAUGGAGAAUUUCACACAGUCUCAUGAACUGUUAAUAGUUGAAAGAGAUAAAUUGUAUUAAUUGUGGGGAAGAAAGGAGUGAAACGAACAACAGGAAUAUAUGAAAAGGGAUAUGGAAAGCAUAAGGAGAGAGGAGCAGAGUAGAUAUAUUUGUCCACUACUACCCAACAGGACUACCAUUAAUUGUAUUCUUUAAUACACUCUCACAUCUUCCUACAAUAGACAACAGUAAGUAAACUGUAAUAUGAUAUGAAUACUAUUCCAGCUCUAGGCACCCUAGGGUGCAUCAAAUAAUGUGAAAUCGAUCUUAUAGGCUAGGCUUUUAUUUAGGCUUUUGCAUAGUAAAAUCUUUCUACUUUCCAUAUGUAUAUGUAAAUUGCUAGACACAGUUUUGGCUGGUGGGUUUUGUCCUGAUGAGUAAAAUGAGGAACUGGACCGUAAAGGAUAAAUACAAAUAUGCAUGCACAUUCACACAGACUGUUACCUCAAAGUAUCGUUUCUUACAGUAAUAAACAUCUGUCGGUAUUUGUA